rnacentral:misc_RNA from 1 species
UACAGAGGCCUCAAACGUUAUUCGGAAUCACUGGGCGUAAAGCGCACGCAGGCGGUCUGUCAAGUCGGAUGUGAAGUCCCCGGGCUCAACCUGGGAACUGCAUCCGAAACUGGCAGGCUAGAGUCUUGUAGAGGGGGGUAGAAUUCCAGGUGUAGCGGUGAAAUGCGUAGAGAUCUGGAGGAAUACCGGUGGCGAAGGCGGCCCCCUGGACAAAGACUGACGCUCAGGUGCGAAAGCGUGGGGAGCAAACAGG